ACAUCAGUGCUAAAAGGCAUAGUGAAUACUACUGGAUCUUGAGACACUCAGUGAGCUAACAAAUGCAAGGCUGUGGUUUUGCCCUAGCACCACCUUCUGAUAAUAUACGAACUAAAAAGAGAACCACACCCAGUUCUGUAUCAACCAUACAGUCCAGAAAGAUUAAACGUAUCAAGUGAUGCUGGUGGUAUUUCCCAACUGCCCUCAUAGGUUCAUCCACCAAGAUGGCUAAGGUUUUUUUUCUGCUCCAGGGAAGGCUGAAAUCUUGAUCAUCCAAGAAAGCUUGGAUUUCUUCUGCCACAACAUGUCUAAGACCCUAUUUUAAAAAGGGAAUAUUAGGUGUCAUUGAUAUACUUGAGAAUGAAUCAAUGAAUUUUUUUGUUAUGGUCACAGACCAAGAGUAUAUACUUAUAGUACUCUGCCCUAAGCCUCUUGAUAAUCUCUCCCAGCAGUUUCAUAUGGAUAUUAAACAGCAUGAGAGAUAGAAUGGCACCGUAUGGUAUGCCAUAUAAAAGCGUACUUUCUGAGAAGCAGCUAUUUUCAAGCACCAUCAUCUGUCUUGAGAGAUAGGGCCAGAGCCACUGAAGCAUAGUGCUCUCAAUUACCAAAUCCUUUAAGCAUUCCAGAAGGUGCCAUGAUGAAUGGUAUUGAAUGCUACUGAGAAGUUAAAAAGCAACAACAUACACAUGUUCCUUGUCUGUUUUCAGGUGAAGAUCCACUACUAAGGCAACCACGGUGGUUGGAAGUUUAGUGUUUGAAGAAGGGUUAGGAGUUUUGAAGGGAAGGGAGGGAUUUGGGAACUGUUUGUUAUAUGAAAGAUACCUCUAUAAGGAUAAUAGUUAAAGCCUCCGGGGAGAAGGAGAACUAUAAUAUGCCUCUAUAGUGCUUAGAGUGCUGUGGGUAGAAGGAAGAUUCUGAUUGUAUUCCUGUGUGUGGAACUUUGUUUUAUGUAUGUUUAAUAUAACUCAAGUUAUAUUACUAUUCUUUGUCCAAGUCAAGACUGUUAAUCUAUUGAAACCUCUAUGCUUAUUUACUCUUCAAGAACAAAAUAAACAACAUAUUCCUGUUUUAUUUCAA